CAGUAGCCACGGGAAUACGUAGGUGGCAAGCGUUGUCCGGAAUUAUUGGGCGUAAAGGGCUCGCAGGCGGUUUCUUAAGUCUGAUGUGAAAGCCCCCGGCUCAACCGGGGAGGGUCAUUGGAAACUGGGAAACUUGAGUGCAGAAGAGGAGAGUGGGAUUCCACGUGUAGCGGUGAAAUGCGCAGAGAUGUGGAGGAACACCAGUGGCGAAGGCGACUCUCUGGUCUGUAACUGACGCUGAGGAGCGAAAGCGUGGGGAACGAACAGGAUUAGAUACCCCAGUAGUCCCUGUCUCUUAUAC
rnacentral:rRNA from 1 species